rnacentral:tRNA from 1 species
GCAGUCAUAGCUCAGCUGGAUAGAGCAUCAGGCUUCGAACCUGAGGGUCGGGGGUUCGAAUCCCUCUGACUGCG